rnacentral:rRNA from 1 species
UACGUAGGGGGCAAGCGUUGUCCGGAUUUAUUGGGCGUAAAGAGCGUGUAGGCGGCCAGGUAGGUCUGCUGUGAAAACUCGAGGCUCAACCUCGAGACGUCGGCGGAAACCAUCUGGCUAGAGUCCGGAAGAGGAGAGUGGAAUUCCUGGUGGUAGCGGUGAAAUGCGCAGAUAUCAGGAAGAACACCCGUGGCGAAGGCGGCUCUCUGGGACGGUACUGACGCUGAGACGCGAAAGCGUGGGGAGCGAAACAGG